GGAGGAAAAAUCGUUACUCGACACCCUGUUUGAGCCACGCCAAGCCGACCGCCUGAGCUCGGGUUCAGUCAUAGCCGGGCGGCAGUGGGAGAGUAUCGCGCGCUGCUCCCACCACAACAUGUGAUAAACCAGACGAGGCUAUCACUCCAUAUACUAGAUUUGACGCUUCACAGUAAUAACCAGCCCGACACGGAGUAGCGUAUGUGGACCUGAGCAGUGACAGACAUUGAUCGCGGUGCGUGGCCAGGCGGAGGAUAUAACGAGAAGUGAACUGUGUGAGGCUUUAAAAAGUGACGACGAAAGGAGAAAGAGAGAGAAAGAGAUAAAUACAAAGAAACCGAGAUAAAAAAGAAGAAGCAAGUGAAGCAUUUAAACACUACCAUAACCUAUUCACCCACUCGGAAAGACGUGAAGGGGACCGGGAAUCGAAGCAGUGAAAAACCUAUCAGCCUCACCUACUAGCCAGGGAGCCACCCAGCCAACCAGAACGUAGCCUGCUGAGCCACCACCAGAACCUUGCAGACGCCCCUAAGAACAUAAAGAAAAUAAGAAAAGCUGCAAGAAAUCAUCAGGCCUACAUAUGAACAUACAUACAGAUGAACAUACAAACGAACACAACGGUAGAGCCUUUUAAAGUUCGUCAGGGUGAAGCUUCGAAACAUUUAAAUUACCGCCAGAAUCCCUUUACGUACAUAACGAAGGGAUUCAAACUCUCCAUAAGCUUGAGGAGGAGGAUCAUGUGAAGAAAGAGGAGGUUACAGGAGGUGAGGGGGGAGAUAUUAGCAUUUCCUCCCCUGUAUAUGCAGAGAAGGACGAAAUAUUUAAGAGCACAGCAGUUCAGCCUUUUAAAGUUAGUCAGGGUGAGGCGUGGAAGCAUUUGAAGUCCACCCCAGCAUCCCUUUAACAGUUUCUAUCCAUCCCGUGCAUACGUAACCGAACGAAGCAUCUAGGAACACAACAGUGGAUCCUUUUAAAAGUAGUGGAGCUGAGGCGUCGGAAGAUUUAACACACUGACCAAAAAUCCCUUUAACAGUUCCUCCAGGGUUAAAAAGUGCAUGAAACAACAACAACAACAACAACAACAACAACAACAGCAGAAAACCAGUGAACUAUUUUGACAACAUAGAAAGGUUUUAAUCUUCAAUAAAAAAAGAAGAAAAGAAAAGAAGAGAAAAAUUUGCAUCCAGUUUCGCGUUUUAAUCACACAACCUUACAAUGGGUCAGAGUUUUCCCAUUAGUACUAAACUCAUACAGUCGCGGAGGCAGCCAUGAUUCAUGCUACCCCCGCACACAAGGCCACGGAGUUAGGUAGAUAUUCCUUUACGUGUCCUGCCAUGCGUGUCUCGAAGGUAAUGAGUGUGUACAUGACGAGGCGAAGGCUGCCACACUCUGUCCUGUCUGCUUCACUGCUUCUCUGACUCCCCUGCCUGUUUCUGCUUCCCUGCCUUCCUCCCUGCCUCUGUUUUCCUUUCCUGUCUAUCAGCUUGUCUCCCUGCUUUCCUGUCUUCCUUCUUGUCUCUGCUUUUUCUCCCUGUUUCUGUUUUCCUUCCUGCCUAUUUCUCUGUUUCCUUUC